rnacentral:rRNA from 1 species
CUUGGUCAUUUAGAGGAAGUAAAAGUCGUAACAAGGUUUCCGUAGGUGAACCUGCGGAAGGAUCAUUAAUGAUUGCGAAUGGUUGCCUUCAGUGCUGGCUCUUAAGAGCAAGUGCACGUUGGUGGCUUUCAUCCAAUACACACUCUGUGAACCUUUGGCCUCUUGCUAGCUUUGGCUGGUAGAGGAUUUUUACACAUAUACUCGAAUGUAAUGAAAAACUAUUGUCGUGCGCAAGCACUAAUGUACAACUUUCAACAACGGAUCUCUUGGCUCUCGCAUCGAUGAAGAACGCAGCGAAAUGCGAUAAGUAAUGUGAAUUGCAGAAUUCAGUGAAUCAUCGAAUCUUUGAACGCACCUUGCACCCUUUGGAAUUCCGAAGGGUAUGCUCGUUUGAGUGUCAUUGUACUCUCACACUCUCUGAUCCUKUGGAUUUGAGGGGUAGUGGACUUGGGUGUUUGCUGCUUUCCUUGUGGCUCACCUCAAAUAUGUUAGUGCACCUUUCAGUUGGACAUAGUACGGCGUGAUAAGUAUCUUCGCCGGCACCUCGCAAGGGGGUGGCUGAUUGGGAGCUCCUGCUGCUUUCAAACCGUCUUCGGACAAUCUNUGACAACCUGACCUCAAAUC